UACAGAGGUCUCAAGCGUUGUUCGGAUUCAUUGGGCGUAAAGGGUGCGUAGGCGGCGCGGUAAGUCGGGUGUGAAAUCUUGGAGCUUAACUCCGAAACUGCAUUCGAUACUGCGGUGCUUGAGGACUGGAGAGGAGACUGGAAUUCAUGAUGUAGCAGUGAAAUGCGUAGAGAUCAUGAGGAAGACCAGUGGCGAAGGCGGGUCUCUGGACAGUUCCUGACACUGAGGCACGAAGGCCAGGGGAGCAAACGGG
rnacentral:rRNA from 1 species